GCUUCCUCCUCCUCUUCCUAUUUAAUCUCCAGCCAACAGUUCCGUGAUGUUACUUUGAAGAGAAGCUGCACGAGCCGUGGAACGAAAAAAAAAAAGACGCGAAAAGAAGUGUCGCUGCGUAACUACUGAAACUGUUCCGGGAGGAGGGAACUUGUGACGGUAAUGCUCCAACCGCCACAAAACCUCAAAAAAGAUGGAGGGAACUUUUAGAAAAAAAACAAAAACAAAGAGAAAACAACCCAGCGUGACAUCAGACGCCGAAAAUGUGGUCGCGUGCAUCAGCUCCUGUAUAAAAACGCAGCAAGGCGCGCCAGGAUGGCGCGUUCGACCUGGUCCAGAUUGGUGGCCCGUACAGAAUAGAACAACCUGCUUCCUGCUCACGGAGACCUGGUCGGACCCGCCAUAUACAAAAGCCUGAGGAUGUCAAAAAAAGAUUGAUCUUCAUGAAGGUCGUCAAAUAGUAGGUGUCAUGAUUUAAUUCUGGGUGGCCGCCGUGUCCCCACUCUCUCUUGGCCGCUGUGCCUACAUCUCUCUGCAUUGUCCAACAUGGCCACGUUCUUUCUAUUCUCCUGCUUUCCAUCUGUCAAAUAGCUGAGGGUUGUACAUGGAGCAUUUGCCACAGGUUGGUUUUGUAUGUUCCUGUCCACUUUAUUGGGUGCUCUGAAAUCUGGUCCUUGUUGGUUAUAUUUUUGUGGAACUGCUGAGCGAGUGAUUUGAAAGAAUGAGGUGAUGGAGUGUUUGAAAUUCUCUCUCUGAAUGAACGGCUUGUGUGUGACUGAGAUGCCUGGAUUGAAUAGUUAAGAUGGUCUGAGAAUAUGAUUAUGUUCAGCAGUUCACAUUAAAGUAGAUAUGGUGUCUUGAAGGGCUUAGAUGCUUGAUAAGUUAUAAUGCACUAACAUUUCCUUUUUAGGUCUGUCUACAAAGGGUGAGUCCAUAUUUUUUUAUUUCUUUUGCAGAGUAGGGGAAUAAACAAAAGAAAACUUGUGUGCUGUGUUUUUUGAAAAUGAAGGUACUUAGAUGUCGGCAACUGACUUGCUAGUCUAGCUGCCCACAGCUAACUACAGAAUCACACUAACAAUUUGUUAAUUUACAUUUACGUAAAAACACACCUCUCUAUGGAGGCGUUUUCUUACCUUGCCACUGUACCCUUAACAACUUUUUCUUUCCAACUGUUUCUUAGGACGGUAAGUGACACGCAGGCCGCGGGCCAUCGCUCUUCCGGCCGCCGUGUCGAUCUGUCCUGGCCCUCCUCUUGCCUUUCCUCACUUUAAUGAAAACGUGUCUCUAAAAGGAAAAAAACUGAACUGUUUUCUUUAGCACUAAAAUAUAGUGAUGUUGGAGGACCAGAUCUUUAAUAUGAGGUUUAAAUGGAUGUUGGUGUACAGUUAAAGCUAGAUGAUAGGAAUAAAAUUAAUGUUGUGCCUUGUACACUUGUCACAAGGCUUAGUCUUCUUGGCCGCUGUGCCUUUUUUUUUUUUUUUCCAUCGUGGCCAUUAAUCUACCGUUAGCCCUAGAACGUUAAAAUAGAUCCUGGUGAUCUAAAAACACAGUACCUGGCUUUGGAUGGCAGCCGUGCCAUUGCCUUUGUAUGGCCAUACGUCCUAUAAUUGCAAGUAGGCCAUGAUCGCUAACUGUGCCCGCGCCUUCGUAGCCUACUUGUGUUAUUGUACGUCUGGCCUUGCGCGUAUAGUCAUUUUACAUAGACAAACAUGGGUGCCUUCCGCGUCCAUGCACAGUAAGUGAACUAACCUGUACUUUUCUUUUAGCAUCAGUCAAGAGGAGCACCGACAUCACUGCAUGUCCAUCCUAAUUAGCGUUUUAGUUGCGAUAAAAUUUCAAAUGUUAAGUGCAGUUUUUCUUUCUUGCUUGGCCCCUGUGCCAUUACUAUACCUGCUCUGACCUGAAUCUUGAUUCUUCAUGGCCACUGUGUCAUGACUGUACUUGAUCUUGGUGUUCAUGCCAGUCUAUAAUUUCUGAUCUGUUUUUCCUACUAAGUUUUUGUGUGCGUGUGUGUGUGUGUUACUGCACCAGAAAGGUGAACAAAAUGUAUGCUGCAAGACUGGCAAGAUGCACACUAAUUAGACAACAAGCAAAUUCUUUCAAAAACAGGAACAUUUUUUACCUUUCAAGUAAGUAUUAAAUGCCUUUGCCACAUGAUCUUUGUGGGUAAAUCGUGUCCACUCAAUUUAUAAAGGUAAUUUGCAUCUAAACAUUUACAAUGCCUGACACAUUACAAUAAUCUAAUUUUUGUUUUGCGUUACUGAGUGCAAAGGCCUUUAUUUACACACUGACACAUGCCAAGACUGCCGUCAUGGCAUGUGUCACUGUCUCUUUCGCUGUUCUGUUUGUCUCUCGCUGGUCUGUCUGUCCUGUGUGUCUUUCUGUCUGGUCUCUGUCUUUCUGUCCUGUGUCGGAUUUAGUCACCUUUUUAGUCUUAACUUAAAUGGAUGAUUUUAAAGUUGAUUAGUCUUGAGGCAUCUGAUUUCUGCAGGAAAUUAUAGUACCUUAUUUUUAAAUGGCUUUGAUUUAAAAAUAAAUUUUUUGUCUUGAAGCUCAGUUAUAGUUGCAACUUGGACUGUUGACAAACGUGGAAGCUGAUGAAUCAUGUAGUAAAUGCAUCAUAGUUUACUGUAGCUAGUCUAAAGUUCUUUCAAAGUGCUGUAAAAAUGUAGUAAUUGAUUACGAUGAGCUAGAGCAGGUCCUCCUUUAUUCUCAACUGUUAAUUGCUUUGUUAAGAUAACUGGAUCCUGAUUUGAUUAUGAAGCUAAACUUUUGAUUUAUAUGCAAGUGUAGUCACAUUAGAUUGUAGGUGUUAUUCAGUCCAUGGAUAAUGUUAUGAUAUACUUUAGAUCUGGCAUUUGUUGAAACACUUGAUAUCUAUUUAAGUCAUAAAUUUUACGCACUGCCAUCAGCCUUUUGUAGUUGCUAACUAAAAUCAAAUUUAAUAUUAAUGCUGACUUGUCUUACUCUGCCAAGUUUAUUUCCCUCUAAAGGAGUUGAACUUUUUUGUGUUCAUAGUCUUUUUGCGCGUCAUGUUGGGAGGCCUCCCAGCAGGGGAUUUUUAACUUCCCCUGCAAAACUAUGCGUUACUCGCCUUAGGGAUGCAGGGCUAUCCUGCAUAGUUUCUUUCAUAAAUGGGAUUGUAGGUUGCAGGUUUAGAGCGUGUUUCUUUUCUUUAGGAGGACACAAACUUGGCAGAGAGACAACUCGGAUUAUUUAAGUGAAAGUUGCGCCAAAUGUUCAAACUUUUUAUCUUUCGAUACGAUGACUUGAAAUAAAACCUUUAUUCUGUGAGCUGAAUACCAGGAGUCAUGAUGUUUAGAAAAUCAGACAGAAUUUGACUUCAUGUUAAAGACUGUUGUGCAAGUACCCUCUUGUAGCAGGAGUGAGCAGCUGCAGCUUUUUAAUUUAUUUUUCGUUAUUUGAUUUGUUUCUUGGAUUGACUUGGUGUCUGGAGCUUUGUGGUUAACAGUGAUCAUGUAAACGUGUAAACACAAAUGGUCUUUUGCCUCUUAUUUGUGAAGCUGGCAGCUGGUUGAAAUGAUAGGACUUUAUGGCUUGCCCAAAGUGGGAUUUUUGAUAGAGCAUAGGGUUAACACCUCACCAUACACUAGCUAUUUCGGUGAACAAGUGUCUGUAGUCCAUGUUGGACACCACAACCUGGAGAAGUCCUGCCCUGGAUGGCUGCGGUGAUGACCUCGCCCAAGAUGAACCGACCCUUCUACGACGAGGACUUUGCCCAAGAUGAACCCACCCUUCUACGACGAGGACUUUGCCCAAGAUGAACCCACCCUUCUACGAUGACGCCUCUUUUCCAUGGGAUGUCUUCAGAUAUUGGACCUUGCCAAACUGUACACAUGCCUCAAUGGCUGCUACGUCACCCGUCGCCCAACAGGACAUGGUCACUGAAAUUUUUUUUUUUUUUAAAUGGACCCACAACCACACAUGACAAAACAUUGUACAUGUGAUGCAUCACCACACUAAAAUACAGACUCUGCUACUUUCAGCCUGUAAUGUUUGACAUUGAGAACUUGUA